GGGGAUGUAAAGGUCUCGACGGGAGCGCACAAGCAGGAUUAGCGAGCCGUAGUUGUCGAAGUCUACGUUAAAAAGCGGCAAAACGUUUUUUUAAACGGCAAAACACAAAACAAUUUCGCACUCGCGGCUUAGUUCCGCACAGCGACGUCGGCCCGGGUUCACCCUGAGGCCCGGAAUCCGGCGACGACAUCAGGGAAAACUCUGCGUGAUUUCCCGGUAACGCAGGGGACCACCCGGGAUAGCUGAUUUCGCGCCGCGCCUGUGAUGCGCGAAAAAGGCGAACAAACCCAUCGCAGGCUGCGCUCGGAGAAUAUCCUGACGGACACGCUUUCGGACGCGGGUUCGAUUCCCGCCAUCUCCACCA
rnacentral:tmRNA from 1 species